AAUUGCUGAUACCAUAUAAAUAUAAGUUUUGCAUAAUUCUUAUAUAAGAGGAGCGUUUAUUUCGCUAGGGGAUGAGAGUGCGCUACAUUAGUUAGUUGGUAGGGUAAGAGCCUACCAAGACUAUGAUGUAUAGCGGGGCUGAGAAGCUGAACCGCUACACUGGGACUGAGAUACGGCCCAGACUCCUACGGGAGGCAGCAGUAGGGAAUAUUCCACAAUGAGCGAAAGCUUGAUGGAGCAACACAGCGUGCAGGAAGACGACCUUAGGGUUGUAAACUGCUGUUAUGAGGGAAGAAAAAUAAAAUUAGGAAAUGAAUUUUACAUGACGGUACCUCAUCAGAAAGCACCGGCAAACUAUGUGCCAGCAGCCGCGGUAAUACAUAGGGUGCAAGCGUUAUCCGGAAUUAUUGGGCGUAAAGUGUCUGUAGGUGGUAUGUUAAGUCUAGUGUUAAAGACUAGGGCCCAACCCUAGCACGCUCUAGAUACUGACAUGCUAGAGUCAUAGAGAGGUUAGCGGAACUCCUAGUGAAGCGGUGAAAUGUGUAGAUAUUAGGAAGAACACCAAUAG
rnacentral:rRNA from 1 species